UACAGAGGGUGCAAGCGUUGUUCGGAAUUAUUGGGCGUAAAGGGAGUGUAGGCGGUUUGUUAAGUCUUCUGUGAAAUCUACGGGCUUAGCCUGUAACGUGCAGAGGAAACUGACAGGCUUGAGUGUCGGAGAGGAUAGGGGAAUUCCCGGUGUAGAGGUGAAAUUCGUAGAUAUCGGGAGGAACACCAGUGGCGAAGGCGGCGACCUGGGCCAAGAUUGACGCUGAGGUGCGAAAGCGUGGGGAGCAAACAGG
rnacentral:rRNA from 1 species